GAGGUUUCUUGGGUUCUCCCUGGGGGUCCUGCUGUUGGUCCCCAGAAAAUAUAAAAUAGGGGAUCAAAGACAGAAAGGAGCCAUGGGGCAUUCUGGAAAUGUUGUCAGGGUACCCGGGCACUGAGCUGCUUCUUCCAAUGACCAUUUCUUGUUGGCACUUUGACCAUCUGCCGUGGUUUCCAGCCCUAUAGGGGCAACCUUACACAUAGCUGAUAUGGUCUCUUGGUUAUAGUGCACCCCAGUGACCAGACAUCAUGAAGUCAAUACCGGUCUAGCUUUUGUUCAAGUCCCAGGCCACCACCUGGCCCCUGACUGUCCUGUGUCUUUUCAGGUCUUUCUCCUGGAUGUUUGUCAGUUUUAUUCUUCUGACUUCGACCUUCGGCAGGAGCCAGCCAACACGGAAAAGCACACAAAGGAUCCACACCAUCCUUGGAAACAACAAACCAGAAUCUUUCCGCCAGCCUCCUGCUCAGAGAACCCUGGCUCUCACCUUUUUUCCUUGCAUAAACCUUCACAACCCUUCUAAGCGGCAUUUUCUGUUUCUCAGGGGCUAUUUACCUUGGUUUGCUCCAUGCUCCCCUGCACCGAUUCCAACCAGAGUGGCCACUAUUUUCCUACGAUUCAGGAUAUCAACGUUGACUGUAUGUUUGUCUGACUUCCUCUGGUCCUAGAAUGAGCCGGGUUUCUUGUGAAUGCAGCUUCAAUUUGAUGAGCAUGUUGACACAUCACCUCUAAGGACUGGUGUUCCUUUUCAGUCCUGCUCAUAGAUUCCUUACAUGCCAACGGGGCAUGCGACAGUGGCUCUCAGAGCUGCCGACUUGGUAUUGGACUGUUCAUUUUUAAAGGCUGUUUUCUCUCAGAAGGUGGUUUUUUUUUUUUUUUUUUUUUUUUUUUUUUGAUGUCAACAUAAAUAGCGUUUGACAUUUCACAGUAGCGUUAGCAAUAACCACCCAGUGGAGGGUGGGCAGGAGAGGCAGCUGGACGUGUGGAGGAGGCCUGGUUUUGUGGGAUCCCAUGGUUAUUACUCUUAGUGGAAUAAGGAUUGUGGGAGCAAUCACCUCAUCUUUGGCUCCAUUUAGCGUCCAACAGGGAAGAUGUGAUCGAUCACCUCACGGGCCACAGAAGACUCUCCAGCACUGGGGAUGACUACAGUGCAUUCCCUGGAGGUGGUCUGACAGGAGUGUCUACCACGCGCCAAUCUACCUAGUGUGACCCAGUGACCUGCUCUAUUGCCGCUCGCUGCCAUAGGUGGGCUGUGCCUAUGUUCGUCACUGUAAACCAAGGGGAAAUCCUGGCAACUCUACCCAGCUCUCUGACAGCGGAAGUAGAUAAUUUGAUCAAAGCAAAGAGGGUCCCAGGUCUGCCUCAGCCGAGGCCCUUUAUUUACAGGCAGCUGGCGUCUCGCUCCCACCUCUGGAUGAGGCAGAAAAAUACCACAAUGAACGCACAUUUAUAUGCGUUGCCUGGAGUGUGGAAAAUCAGGAGAGAGACUUUCAGAGAGUAAGAACUUACACAUUAUGCCUCUGCAGUCACUUCAGGCUAUUUGGCUAAAACUCCUUCUGUGUAUAGGGAUAUAGGUUGGAUUUAACCCCAAAGUAAAUCUUUUACAUCCAAAAUUAAACACCGUGUAGGGCGGAAGAAUUUUUUUUUCGGAGAUUUUUAUACUCUGUAAUUUCUUGAAGGAGUUUCAUGCCUUAUUUUUUUUAGUCACUUCAAAACGUAUCGCAAGCUUAUGAAUUCUACCUUGGAUCUCCCAUUCCACCAUCUGGGACACGAACAGGACUGGAGGAGCCCCAGCGUGACAUUUCUGGGUAUUUUCUAAGUUGUUUUUUGUUGUUCACUUGGUGAGAUAUGGAGAGAGCAUAUGUAGGGUAGUGACUCAUCUCCAGGGAAGAUUUCUGGGGAUGCGAUGCCUUCAGUUUGUAGUUUCCCAGUUGUAACCUGCUGAAGCUUUCGCAGAGGAGACCGUCUUUGUUCUGUUUCAGACUUUCAGAUGAGUGACCCAAGAGCAGCUUUCUGAGCCCAAGUUCCCCUCUCAUUUUGGCUUUGUGUCACUCUCACUGUACCCCCCCCCAAUAUCCCUGGGCCUUACUCAUUAGUAUAUCACCCCAUUCAGGUAGCGGGGGAGCGACAGUCAGCUGAACACAACUCUCAGUUAGCACUGAGGCAUUAGGGUGUGUCCAAGUGAUUGGAUGUUAUUAAGUCCGGAAGAACGUGUCAAUGAAUAGACGGCCACAUGUGUCUUAGUGAUGGCAAAGGUUAAUUCAGGCAGCAUAAGCUGUUGAUGACAAGGACUAACUUUGUAGGAGAUUAAGGCCAGGGAUAUGUGCUACAGGCUUUGAUGUACAGGCAUCAUUCAGAAACCAGCCUUAAUUUACUAAAUGGUAAGGGAUCCGUGUACCCUUGCUUUAGAGAGUCCAUCCUUUAUGUUUGGCUUCAAAGCACCAAAGACAGGAAAUGUGUUUGAGAUGUAGAUUUCUUUCACAACAAAAUGAUAAUGUGAGAAGCUUGCACUUCUUCUUAGAUUGCAAUCGUAAGCAUUUAUUUUAGACUCAUAGCAUGGAAAACGGUGAAGUGUGAGAAACUGUCUUGUUUAGUUUAAGACUUUUUACACAGAUUUAUGUAGAGGUAUAUGUGCAUGUGUGCAUGUGUGUAUGAGUGUGCACAUACAUGUGUAUAUGUGCAUGUGUAUUUACUUGCCUAUGUGGGUGUAUGUGUGUGUUAGUGUAGAGAACAACUUGCAGAAGUUGAUUUUUUUAUUAAGUGGGUUCUAGGAAUCGAACGUGGUUGGCAGUAUUGACAGCAAGAAUCUGCUGGGUCUUCUGAGAGGCCCUGGUUUAACUGCAAUCCAUUACAAUGCUUGUGUUGGUAAAGUUUGUUGUCAACUUGACACAAGCUUGAGUCAUCUGUAAAAGGGAGUCUCAGUUGAAGGCUGGCUUGUGCGCAGGUCUAUGGAAUAUUUUCCCCAAUUAAUGACUGAUGUGGGAGGAGUCAGCCUGCUGUGGGCAGUGUCAUCCAUGGAAGAGUCAUGGAGAGAAUAAGAAGGCAGGCUGAACAAGCCACAGGGAGCAAGACAAUUAGUAGCAUCCUCCAUGGCCUCUGUGUCAGCUCCUGCUUUGAAUCUUUGUCCUGAUUUCCCUCCUUAAUGGUCUAUGACAUACAAGUGUAAUCCAAAUAAACCCUUUUCUCUCUGUGUUGCUUUUGGUCAGAAUGUUUUAUCACAGUGGUAGAAAGAAAACUAGGACAAUGUUCUUUGUCAGAAGUGUUGAUGCUACGUGGUUCAAGAAAAGACUCCAGGAUGGACGCAAACAUACACUGUAAUCCUAGUUUCAAAAAUCUAUCUUCAAUGGCAGGCUGAGUCAUAUGAAGUGGCUAUUUUGUACGUUGAAAUUAUUUGAAAUCAGCAAUUCUACAUGGUUCAAAAUGCCAAUGGCACAGGCUCAAUGGACAAGAGAAACUACAUAUGAAAUAUAUAUGGGUACGCAGAUAUGUGCAUAUGUGCAUGUGCACACACGUGGGAUUGGGUGACACAGAGACUGACACAGAGAGAGAGAGGGGAGGGGAGAAGGAAGGAGGGAGGGAGAGAGAGACUUAGUAAGCAUUCUUAAUGGUAACUAUGGGAAUAGGAUUUUAUCUUUUCCUCAUCUCUAUCUCUAGAGUGAGUGCUCCUCCCUUUCCCCUUUGAGUGCUGUACAAGUUCAGCCUUUCACAGUGAGGAGGAGCCUGCAGUGAGAGCGCACUUACACGAUGAUCUCUUAGUCACUUUAAGGACAUCGGGGCUCUGGUUUCCAGAGCCCUUUAGAAAUACCCAGAUUUGGAGAGAAGUGGGCCGGUUUCCUUUCCUUUCUGGCUAAAGUCUACCUUGUGCACACAAGGAUGGGGUACAAGUAGGCAUCCAAACCUAUCUGUGAAUGGUUUCCAAACUGAAUGCACGGGGGAGAGAUAACUAAUCGUUGCUUACCGACAUUCUGCAAUGCUGCCGAUUUCCCCUUAGUGAAACCGAUAGGCUUGUUCUCCGAAAAGCAGAUGGCUGGAUUAGAUAGCCAUAGGACAGGAAGGAGUAAAGAAGGAAAAUGAAAAAGCUGCUGGUUUGUUGAGAAGCACCUUCCUAAUUCUCCUGAAUGGGCACUUAGACUCUUGGGUAAAUGCCACACUUUGUAUAUUGUUAAGGAAAUAAAUCUAAAAGUUUAUUGUAUUUGAGUCCAUAGAUGGUCCAGAAUUUCCUAACGCACGUGUAUAAGGUUUUAUGUAUAUAUGUAUGUAUGUAUGUAUGUAUGUAUGUAUGUAUGUAUAUGUGUGUGUGUGUAUAUCAAAGAACGGAAGCAAGCUGAUUGGCUUCAGUUAGCAUUUGCCUCAUAUGGCCAUGGAGGGAUCUCUUAGCAGUUUGUGAUUGGAUGCGUAUCAAUUCACAAUGAUUGGCAGGGGCUCAACUCUGCACAAGAAUGUACUCUUCAGUUAGGCUGCAAUUUGCUCAUGGACUUAAUUAGGUUACAGCUUACUACAGACAGAGGUGGUUUCGGGUCCAAUUUUAGUACCCAAGUACCAAACUUUUCAACCUGAUAUGAAUUCCCGAAGGCCUUUUGGGCCCUUUCCUCCACAGGUUUCUGAU
rnacentral:lncRNA from 1 species